UAGGGAAUCUUCGGCAAUGGACGGAAGUCUGACCGAGCAACGCCGCGUGAGUGAAGAAGGUUUUCGGAUCGUAAAGCUCUGUUGUAAGAGAAGAACGAGUGUGAGAGUGGAAAGUUCACACUGUGACGGUAUCUUACCAGAAAGGGACGGCUAACUACGUGCCAGCAGCCGCGGUAAUACGUAGGUCCCGAGCGUUGUCCGGAUUUAUUGGGCGUAAAGCGAGCGCAGGCGGUUAGAUAAGUCUGAAGUUAAAGGCUGUGGCUUAACCGUAGUACGCUUUGGAAACUGUUUAACUUGAGUGCAAGAGGGGAGAGUGGAAUUCCAUGUGUAGCGGUGAAAUGCGUAGAUAUAUGGAGGAACACCGGUGGCGAAAGCGGCUCUCUGGCUUGUAACUGACGCUGAGGCUCGAAAGCGUGGGGAGCAAACAGGAUUAGAUACCCUGGUAGUCCACGCCGUAAACGAUGAGUGCUAGGUGUUAGACCCUUUCCGGGGUUUAGUGCCGUAGCUAACGCAUUAAGCACUCCGCCUGGGGAGUACGACCGCAAGGUUG
rnacentral:rRNA from 1 species